ACUCCUACGGGAGGCAGCAGUGGGGAAUUUUGGACAAUGGGGGCAACCCUGAUCCAGCCAUGCCGCGUGAGUGAAGAAGGCCUUCGGGUUGUAAAGCUCUUUCGGACGGAAAGAAAUCGCCUUUACUAAUACGAGUGGUGGAU
rnacentral:rRNA from 1 species